GACGAACCGUGCGAACGUUGUUCGGAAUCACUGGGCUUAAAGGGCGCGUAGGCGGGCGGCCAAGUCGGAGGUGAAAGCCUGCAGCUCAACUGCAGAAGUGCCCCCGAUACUGGCCAUCUUGAGGGAGGUAGGGGCGUGCGGAACUUCCGGUGGAGCGGUGAAAUGCGUAGAUAUCGGAAGGAACACCGGUGGCGAAAGCGGCGCGCUGGACCUCUUCUGACGCUGAGGCGCGAAAGCCAGGGGAGCGAACGGG
rnacentral:rRNA from 1 species